rnacentral:rRNA from 1 species
AACGAACGCUGGCGGCAUGCCUAACACAUGCAAGUCGAACGAGACCUUCGGGUCUAGUGGCGCACGGGUGCGUAACGCGUGGGAACCUGCCCUUAGGUUCGGAAUAACUCCCCGAAAGGGGUGCUAAUACCGGAUAAUGUCUUCGGACCAAAUAUUUAUCGCCUUUGGAUGGGCCCGCGUUGGAUUAGCUAGUUGGUAGGGUAAAAGCCUACCAAGGCGACGAUCCAUAGCUGGUCUGAGAGGAUGAUCAGCCACACUGGGACUGAGACACGGCCCAGACUCUUGCGGGAGGCAGCAGUGGGGAAUAUUGGACAAUGGGCGAAAGCCUGAUCCAGCAAUGCCGCGUGAGUGAUGAAGGCCUUAGGGUUGUAAAGCUCUUUUACCCGGGAUGAUAAUGACAGUACCGGGAGAAUAAGCUCCGGCUAACUCCGUG